rnacentral:rRNA from 1 species
AGUUUGAUCCUGGCUCAGAUUGAACGCUGGCGGCAGGCCUAACACAUGCAAGUCGAACGGUAACAUUUCUAGCUUGCUAGAAGAUGACGAGUGGCGGACGGGUGAGUAAUGCUUGGGAACUUGCCUUUGCGAGGGGGAUAACAGUUGGAAACGACUGCUAAUACCGCAUAACGUCUACGGACCAAACGGGGCUUAGGCUCCGGCGCAAAGAGAGGCCCAAGUGAGAUUAGCUAGUUGGUAAGGUAAUGGCUUACCAAGGCAACGAUCUCUAGCUGUUCUGAGAGGAAGAUCAGCCACACUGGAACUGAGACACGGUCCAGACUCCUACGGGAGGCAGCAGUGGGGAAUAUUGCACAAUGGGGGAAACCCUGAUGCAGCCAUGCCGCGUGUGUGAAGAAGGCCUUCGGGUUGUAAAGCACUUUCAGUUGUGAGGAAAAGUUAGUAGUUAAUACCUGCUAGCCGUGACGUUAACAACAGAAGAAGCACCGGCUAACUCCGUGCCAGCAGCCGCGGUAAUACGGAGGGUGCGAGCGUUAAUCGGAAUUACUGGGCGUAAAGCGCACGCAGGCGGUUUUGUUAAGCUAGAUGUGAAAGCCCCGGGCUCAACCUGGGAUAGUCAUUUAGAACUGGCAGACUAGAGUCUUGGAGAGGGGAGUGGAAUUCCAGGUGUAGCGGUGAAAUGCGUAGAUAUCUGGAGGAACAUCAGUGGC